UACGGAGGGGGCUAGCGUUGUUCGGAAUUACUGGGCGUAAAGCGCGCGUAGGCGGCUUUGUAAGUUAGAGGUGAAAGCCCGGAGCUUAACUCCGGAACUGCCUUUAAGACUGCAUCGCUAGAAUCGUGGAGAGGUGAGUGGAAUUCCGAGUGUAGAGGUGAAAUUCGUAGAUAUUCGGAAGAACACCAGUGGCGAAGGCGACUCACUGGACACGUAUUGACGCUGAGGUGGCGAAAGCGUGGGAGCAAACAGG
rnacentral:rRNA from 1 species